rnacentral:rRNA from 1 species
UUGACGGGGCCGCACAAGCGGUGGAGCAUGUGGUUUAAUUCGAAGCAACGCGAAGAACCUUACCAGGUCUUGACAUCCCGAUGCUAUUUCUAGAGAUAGAAAGUUACUUCGGUACAUCGGUGACAGGUGGUGCAUGGUUGUCGUCAGCUCGUGUCGUGAGAUGUUGGGUUAAGUCCCGCAACGAGCGCAACCCUUGCCUUUAGUUGCCAGCAGUUCGGCUGGGCACUCUAAAGGGACUGCCGGUGUCAAACCGGAGGAAGGUGGGGAUGACGUCAAGUCCUCAUGGCCUUUAUGGCCAGGGCUACACACGUACUACAAUGGCCGGUACAAAGGGCAGCGACAUUGCGAGAUGGAGCGAAUCCCGAAAAGCCGGUCUCAGUCCGGAUUGGAGUCUGCAACUCGACUCCAUGAAGUUGGAAUCGCUAGUAAUCGUGGAUCAGCAUGCCACGGUGAAUACGUUCCCGGGCCUU